rnacentral:rRNA from 1 species
UACAUGUGGGGCAAGCGUUGUUCGGAAUUACUGGGCAUAAAGGGUGCGUAGGUGGCUUGUUAAGUCAGGGGUGAAAGUUUUCGGCCCAACCGGAAAAUGGCCUUGAUACUGGCGAGCUCGAGUGCGUGAGGGGUAACCGGAACGAGCAGUGUAGCGGUGAAAUGCGUAGAUAUUGCUCGGAAGGCCAACGGCGAAGGCAGGUUACUGGUGCGCAACUGACACUGAGGCACGAAAGCGUGGGGAGCAAACAGGG